CCCCACCCGUAAAAACGUUUCAGUCCGGGCCCUGGGCAGAGAUGAGCCCCAAAGUGCUCACCAUGCUGACUGCACUUCCCUGCAUGGUUUACUUCAUCGUGAAGUCUAAAUUUGGUUCUGAAGUACCCAUCCAAGCUCCAUAACUUGCCUCUUGAAGACAAGAAGAUAUCCAUGGCUGGAAUGACUCUCAUAGAAUCAAUUAAGAAUGCCUAUAGAUGGAAUAAACAAAACUCCAUAGAGAUUACAGGCAAAAAAUGAUCAGCAAGUCAUAGUUUCUGGCUGCUGGAGGCUGACUGCAACUGAAUAAUAGAACAAACAGGGAGCUUCAUUAUCACGGUGUGCCGCUGCUGCUGGGCUCCUUUAAGCAAAAAAUCAUGUUGAAGAAAAACAAGGCACUUCUAAUGUGAUCUAAACUUUUGUCUUUUUUUUUUUUUGCCUUUUAAGAGCAUUCACAAAUACUCA